rnacentral:rRNA from 1 species
GUACACUCCUGCGGGAGGCAGCAGUGGGGAAUAUUGGACAAUGGGCGCAAGCCUGAUCCAGCCAUGCCGCGUGAGUGAUGAAGGCCCUAGGGUUGUAAAGCUCUUUCACCGGUGAAGAUAAUGACGGUAACCGGAGAAGAAGCCCCGGCUAACUUCGUGCCAGCAGCCGCGGUAAUACGAAGGGGGCUAGCGUUGUUCGGAUUUACUGGGCGUAAAGCGCACGUAGGCGGACUAUUAAGUCAGGGGUGAAAUCCCGGGGCUCAACCCCGGAACUGCCUUUGAUACUGGUAGUCUUGAGUUCGAGGGAGGUGGGUGGAAUUCCGAGUGUAGAGGUGAAAUUCGUAGAUAUUCGGUGGAACACCAGUGGCGAAGGCGGCUCACUGGCUCGAUACUGACGCUGAGGUGCGAAAGCGUGGGGAGCGAACAGGAUUAGAAACCCCAGUAGUCCCAUG